GUUUUCUAAGGGGGGGAUUACUUUAUAAAAAAAGGUUGAGAAACACUGCUCUAGAUAAAGGAGGCUACUUCAUCGUAUCUGACUUCACAAUAAUAAAAGUCCACUACUCAGUAAAUGCCUAUUAAUAAUAUUACAAAAACAUAACUGAUGUUUGAGAAGCAAACAUCAGUACAGUAUUAAACAAUCUGACUCAACAUGACAAGGCUGAAGGAAGUGGUAAGGAGCAAGCAAGGUAAAUAAUGAAAAAACGAUAAUUCUUCUGAAUUAAAAAGUAAACAAGAAAAAUUAAAGUAGUAAGACUGAAUAUGUUACCGUUCACCUGAAAAAAAAAAAAAAAAAAACCACCACCGGAAAGUCAGUUUCUUCAUUCUUAAAAACAAGUGUGCGAUUAAACUACCUACUGACCCAGAAACAUCAGAACAUUGAUGAGUUAAAAUAAUUCUGCUGAGGCAUUUUUAUACCAUGUUAAUUAUUUAAGUCACUGUUCCAAUCUUUUGAACAGCUACUUCACCAUCAUUUAGGAAUAGUCUCUCUAACUCCCACAAAAUGGCAGAGAUCAAAUUGUGAUUAUACCAUUAAGAAGAAAUGAAAAGCAAAGACUUGAACUUAAAUAAGACAGCUGCAGCCUUCUUUUAUACCCACAUCUCCUUCAAAUAUUUCUUUCAAUUUCUCAUUUUGUUUUACACUAAAACUCUUAUCCCUGAUAUUCUCAUCCGGAGAGCAGAUAAUUUGUAGGUCCAUUAAGUGGAGGCUGCAUGAAGACACAAAAGGAGAAAUUGAAGAAAUAUUUAGAAGACUCAAUACUGACAACAUGGUCAAACACACUAAUGCUAUAAAGCAGCCAUAUUGGGGAGGGAAUUAAUAUUCUUUUUAAUAGUAUUAAGUUUAUGCCUAGAAAGCAAAAGGUCAUAAUAUAUUCUAUCCAAGUAAUGCCAUUCAAGAACACGGAGAAGUCUUGUCAUCUGCUCAGACAAGAAAAAUAAAAUUAAGUAAUAACACCUGAAAAGUGUAGUCUUCUUAACCUUCUGAUAUAUGUAUUACCUUCAGCACAUUAUACAAACCUCAUUCAGUAAGUGCCAGCACACUCACACACACACGUGUCCAACAGCAACCAUGGAUAUUUAAAAAUUCCAGAACCACCACCAGCCUUUAAGUGAGCCUAUAAAUCUUCCUUUGCUUUUCUAACUUUGUGUCUUUCUGUAGAGCCCCUUGUGUAAUAUGCAUGCUGUGUUUUGAUCAAAUUGUCAUUGUAUUCAAUAUAAAAUAUGUCAUGUAUGCUUAGCAGCUCUUUAAAAUUAAUUCUAUAGCAAAAGCACAGACAGCUAUGUUUAAGAGGCCUAACCACAGACUACAUGAAUUGUCUUUUUGCUAUUAAGAUGGAGUGUAUUAGGAAAUGUGUUAGGAAACAUGAUUAUUUAGGAUAAUCAGUAACAUUUGUAAGAGUAAAAAUCCUCAUCUGAGUCUCUAGCUCUUCAACAACAUACCAAAUUUGGUGUAAGUAGAAAAAAUUCCUUGCAUCUAAUUACAAGAGCUUCAUUUCAUUCGCUAGCUAUUAAGUAACACACCAAAUCUGGUGUAAGUAAAAAAAAUUCUUUGCAUCUACUUACAAGAUCCUCAGCUAAUUCACUAGCCUUUAAGAGAAAAAAAAUUAUUUGCAUCUCAAAUUAACCACAGAACUGAAUAGACAAUGAGAGAUCAGGCCAUAAAUACCCUGCACUAACGACUGCGGGUACCUCAUCAUCUACAGUUCAUUCUGGAAACUGAACUCACGUGCUGCUCUCUGACGACAAGAAGGGAUCCAUACCAAGGCAGGCAUCGUAACAGCAUUCAUCAUCCUCUACCUGGCCAGUAGAGAGAUGCUGCUACACCUGAUCGGGUGAUAUACUGUGGCUAUGUGACAUGCAUGAUGCGAGUGACAUCCUAUCAUUGGCAGAUAACUCUGAAAGUAUAGAAAAUGAGGGUGAUAUUGAAGGUGCAUAGUCUUCAGAAUCCUGUAUGUCGAGGAUGGAUUCUCCUAAACAAAAUAAGUCAGAGUAACAACUUAUGUUUGAGCAAAAAAAAAAAAAAAAAA